GGAGAGGUGGCAGAGUGGUCGAAUGUACUUGACUCGAAAUCAAGCGUACUGUCAAAGGUACCGUGGGUUCGAAUCCCACCCUCUCCG
rnacentral:tRNA from 1 species